GGCAGGGGGCGCGGCGGGGGCUGCUGCGCUCGGAGACCAGGCUCCCGGAGGUGGUUACCUGGCAACCCAGAGUCUGCUCGGAAGACUAGAUUCCUGGAGUUUGUGACUUGAAGAUGUGCCGCUCAUCUCCAGCUGUGGGAAACACCAAAGACAGAUGACCCCAUGUGCUCUGCUCAGAGUCCACCACUACUGGGUCUUGCCAAAACCACACUUGCAUAGCAGGUUCUUUACCACCUGGGAAACCUGCUGCUGCUAAGUCGCUUCAGUCGUGUCCAACUCUGUGCGACCCCAGAGACAGCAGCCCACCAGGCUCCCCUGUCCCUGGGAUUCUCCAGGCAAGAACGCUGGAGUGGGUUGCCAUUUCCUUCUCCAAUGCAUGAAAGUGAAAAGUGAGAGUGAAGUCGCUCAGUCGUGUCCGACUCUUCUCGACCCCCUGGACUGCAGCAUACCAGGAUCCUCCGUCCAUGGGAUUUUCAAGGCAAGAGUACUGGAGUAGGGUGCCAUUGCCUUCUCCGAGAUACAUGUUAUAACACACUAAAUCUAAAAUUCUCUAAUAUGGGCAUUCUAUUCCUGUAUGUGUGUUUUAUACACAUAUAAAUGUGUUUUUAUA
ensembl:lncRNA